UGCAUCGGGCCGGAAAUCGAACCCGGGCCGCCGGCGUGGCAGGUGAACAUUCUCGCCACUGAACAACCGAUGC